rnacentral:rRNA from 1 species
CCUACGGGGUGCAGCAGUAGGGAAUAUUGCUCAAUGGGGGAAACCCUGAAGCAGCAACGCCGCGUGGAGGAUGAAGGUUUUCGGAUUGUAAACUCCUUUUGUUAGAGAAGAUAAUGACGGUAUUUAACGAAUAAGCACCGGCUAACUCCGUGCCAGCAGCCGCGGUAAUACGGAGGGUGCAAGCGUUACUCGGAAUCUCUGGGCGUAAGGAGCGCGUAGGCGGGAUAGCAAGUCAGAUGUGAAAUCCGAUGGCUUAACCAUAGAACUGCAUUUGAAACUGUUAUUCUAGAGUAUGGGAGAGGUAGGUGGAAUUCUUGGUGUAGUGGUAAAAUCCGUAGAGAUCAAGAGGAAUACUCAUUGCGAAGGCGAGCUGCUAGAACAUAACUGACGCUGAUGCGCGAAAGCGUGGGGAGCAAACAGGAGUAGAUACCCCAGUAGUC